UGUGAACUCGAAGAGUAGGGCGGGACACGUGGUAUCCUGUCUGAAUAUGGGGGGACCAUCCUCCAAGGCUAAAUACUCCUGACUGACCGAUAGUGAACCAGUACCGUGAGGGAAAGGCGAAAAGAACCCCGGCGAGGGGAGUGAAAAAGAACCUGAAACCGUGUACGUACAAGCAGUGGGAGCACCUUCGGGUGUGACUGCGUACCUUUUGUAUAAUGGGUCAGCGACUUAUAUUCUGUAGCAAGGUUAACCGUAUAGGGGAGCCGCAGGGAAACCGAGUCUUAACUGGGCGUUAAGUUGCAGGGUAUAGACCCGAAACCCGGUGAUCUAGCCAUGGGCAGGUUGAAGGUUGGGUAACACUAACUGGAGGACCGAACCGACUAAUGUUGAAAAAUUAGCGGAUGACUUGUGGCUGGGGGUGAAAGGCCAAUCAAACCGGGAGAUAGCUGGUUCUCCCCGAAAGCUAUUUAGGUAGCGCCUCGUGAACUCAUCUUCGGGGGUAGAGCACUGUUUCGGCUAGGGGGUCAUCCCGACUUACCAACCCGAUGCAAACUACGAAUACCGAAGAAUGUUAUCACGGGAGACACACGGCGGGUGCUAACGUCCGUCGUGAAGAGGGAAACAACCCAGACCGCCAGCUAAGGUCCCAAAGUCAUGGUUAAGUGGGAAACGAUGUGGGAAGGCACAGACAGCCAGGAUGUUGGCUUAGAAGCAGCCAUCAUUUAAAGAAAGCGUAAUAGCUCACUGGUCGAGUCGGCCUGCGCGGAAGAUGUAACGGGGCUAAACCAUGCACCGAAGCUGCGGCAGCGACGCUUAUGCGUUGUUGGGUAGGGGAGCGUUCUGUAAGCCUGCGAAGGUGGCCUGUGAGGGUUGCUGGAGGUAUCAGAAGUGCGAAUGCUGACAUAAGUAACGAUAAAGCGGGUGAAAAGCCCGCUCGCCGGAAGACCAAGGGUUCCUGUCCAACGUUAAUCGGGGCAGGGUGAGUCGACCCCUAAGGCGAGGCCGAAAGGCGUAGUCGAUGGGAAACAGGUUAAUAUUCCUGUACUUGGUGUUACUGCGAAGGGGGGACGGAGAAGGCUAUGUUAGCCGGGCGACGGUUGUCCCGGUUUAAGCAUGUAGGCGGAGGUUCCAGGUAAAUCCGGUACCUUUUAACGCUGAGGUGUGAUGACGAGGCACUACGGUGCUGAAGUAACAAAUGCCCUGCUUCCAGGAAAAG
rnacentral:rRNA from 1 species